rnacentral:rRNA from 1 species
GAUGAACGCUAGCGGCAGGCCUAAUACAUGCAAGUCGAACGGAUAUAUGUUUUUCGGAAUAUAUAUUAGUGGCGCACGGGUGAGUAACACGUACAUAACUUGCCCUCAAGCGGGGGAUAGCCUUGGGAAACUGAGAGUAAUACCCCAUAGAAUUAUUGGACGGCAUCGUUUGAUAAUUAAAACUACGGUGUUUGGGGAUAGAUGUGCGUCUGAUUAGCUAGUUGGUGAGGUAACUGCUCACCAAGGCGACGAUCAGUAGGGGGCGUGAGAGCGUGGCCCCCCACACGGGUACUGAGACACGGACCCGACUCCUACGGGAGGCAGCAGUAAGGAAUAUUGGUCAAUGGAGGGAACUCUGAACCAGCCAUGCCGCGUGAAGGAUGACGGCCCUCUGGGUUGUAAACUUCUUUUGGAUGGGGACGAAAAAACGGGNUUUAUCCUGGACUGACGGUACCAUCAGAAUAAGCACCGGCUAACUCCGUG